rnacentral:rRNA from 1 species
AGCCAGCAGCCGCGGUAAUACAGAGGGUGCAAGCGUUAUUCGGAAUUACUGGGCGUAAAGCGCAAGUAGGCGGGUUAUCAAGUCAGAUGUGAAAUCCUGGGGCUCAACCUCAGAAUUGCGUUUGAAACUGAUAGUCUAGAGUCUGAGAGAGGGAGGUGGAAUUCCAGGUGUAGAGGUGAAAUUCGUAGAUAUCUGGAGGAACACCGGAGGCGAAGGCGGCUUCCUGGCUCAGAACUGACGCUGAAUUGCGAAAGCGUGGGUAGCAAACAGGAUUAGAUACCCUGGUAGUCCACGCUGUAAACGAUGUUAACUAGCCGUUCGAGGAAUUGACCCCUUGAGUGGUGAAGCCAACGCAUUAAGUUAACCGCCUGGGGAGUACGGUCGCAAGAUUAAAACUCAAAGGAAUUGACGGGGGCCCGCACA